GGUAGUGUGGUCUAAUGGAAAGAGCGGAGGACUGGGAGUCAGAGGGCCUGGGUUCUAAUCCCAGCUCUGCCA
rnacentral:tRNA from 1 species